rnacentral:lncRNA from 1 species
UCCCCCCAUAACAUACGGAAAUCAGAAUCAGCUCAACUUAGAUGACAAUGUAUAUACUUUAUCAAAUUAUAUGGGUGUUGCAACAACGUAUAUACUUUAUCACAUUAUAAGUCCUCACACCUUCAACUAUGACAAAAUCUGAGAGUAUAAGUCUGGUUACAUUCACCCAAGUCCAAACAUAAAAUUCUGUCCAACAUAGUACAACCCACUUUGAUAAUUUCAUAGGAUUUAAUAUACCGAACGAAACCUGACAAGUGAUAUGUGUUUUAAGUAUCUACAGAACAGCCUCUAAAAUUUUCAUGUUGUAACUUUAUUUUAAUACCACCUCUAACAGGGCCU